rnacentral:rRNA from 1 species
CAGCCGCCACGGGAAUACGUAGGUGGCAAGCGUUGUCCGGAAUUAUUGGGCGUAAAGGGCUCGCAGGCGGUUUCUUAAGUCUGAUGUGAAAGCCCCCGGCUCAACCGGGGAGGGUCAUUGGAAGCUGGGAAACUUGAGUGCAGAAGAGGAGAGUGGAAUUCCACGUGUAGCGGUGAAAUGCGUAGAGAUGUGGAGGAACACCAGUGGCGAAGGCGACUCUCUGGUCUGUAACUGACGCUGAGGGGCGAAAGCGUGGGGAGCGAACAGGAUUAGAUACCCGUGUAGUCCCUGUCUCUUAUGA